rnacentral:rRNA from 1 species
GUGGGGAAUAUUGCACAAUGGGGGAAACCCUGAUGCAGCAACGCCGCGUGAAUGAAGAAGGCCUUUGGGUCGUAAAAUUCUGUCCUUGGCAAUGAAAAAAAUGACAGUAGCCUUGGAGGAAGCCCCGGCUAACUCCGUGCCAGCAGCCGCGGUAAUACGGAGGGGGCAAGCGUUAUCCGGAAUUAUUGGGCGUAAAGGGUACGCAGGUGGUUUUUUAAGCGUAGGGUAUAAGGCAAUGGCUCAACCAUUGUUCGCCCUACGAACUGAAUAACUUGAGUGCAGGAGAGGAAAGCGGAAUUCCUAGUGUAGCGGUGAAAUGCAUAGAUAUUAGGAGGAACACCAGUGGCGAAGGCGGCUUUCUGGACUGUAACUGACACUGAGGUACGAAAGCGUGGGGAGCAAACAGGAUUAGAAACCCUAGUAGUCC